UGGGGAAUUUUGGACAAUGGGCGCAAGCCUGAUCCAGCCAUUCCGCGUGCAGGACGAAGGCCUUCGGGUUGUAAACUGCUUUUGUACGGAACGAAAAGCCCUUCUCUAAUACAGAGGGGUCAUGGCGGUACCGUAAGAAUAAGCACCGGCUAACUACGUGCCAGCAGCCGCGGUAAUACGUAGGGUGCAAGCGUUAAUCGGAAUUACUGGGCGUAAAGCGUGCGCAGGCGGUUGUGUAAGACAGAUGUGAAAUCCCCGGGCUCAACCUGGGAACUGCAUUUGUGACUGCACAGCUGGAGUGCGGCAGAGGGGGAUGGAAUUCCGCGUGUAGCAGUGAAAUGCGUAGAUAUGCGGAGGAACACCGAUGGCGAAGGCAAUCCCCUGGGCCUGCACUGACGCUCAUGCACGAAAGCGUGGGGAGCAAACA
rnacentral:rRNA from 1 species